ensembl:lncRNA
GGAAAAACUGUAAUGUACAAAUUUUUUUCGCACUGUUUUCUCUUGGCUAAUGAAGAAUGUAUUUGUUUGAGUUUGAUAUCCUCCCUGUGCAUCUCCACCAGCUUCCACUCGCUCCCUCACCUGUGUAGCGUAUGAGCAGUUCAUUCAUUCAUUGGUUCUGAAUUAAUGAAUCAUGUCUCGUUGAAUCUAAAACAAUGCACAUUCCUUGGCUAAAACCCAAAGCUUUUAGCCCCUGAACUCAUGCAGGUAAAUCAAACUCUCUGCAAGCUGAAUGACCGGCCUGGUGCCAGCAUGGCUGGGUUUAAAUUCCUGAUCCAGGUCAUAAAACUUUAUGACCCAACUGGGAGAAACAGAAAAAGCCCAGCUCGCUAGGAAUUCUUGUAAGGAAAAAGGAGAGUAAAUGUAUUCUAAAUGUAUUGACUGUAUUUCCUUUUUGUGCUUAGAUGUCUUCCCAUAUCAAAUUAGAGUAUCUGUAGUUUUAUCGUGUGUAAAUCAAACUUUAAAUGUGUGUAAUUCUGCAGAUGAAUGUAACUUUAUGUUUCUCUUACCUUUACCUGUCAUUCUUGGUACCUGUUUAACCAUCUUGCUUUGACCGAACCACUCAUACAUAGGAAAUUACAGUAAAAUGUAUUAUUCUGGAAUUAUCAUCUUGCUGGAAUAUAACUGCUGAAUUCUGACAACACCAUAACUCACUCGAGUGGGUGUCUCCCCAGAGAAAAAGGAAGUUUUUCCCACUUCAGAUCGUGGACGUUCAUUGGUUGUUCACACGAACAGAGGCGUGAACCCAGUCGCUCCAUAAGAGACUGACACAGAGAGUUCUCGUUGCACUUCGUCUGAGAGAACGUCUGUCGCGAUGGCUCCUUAGGGAGCUCUCAUCUCCGUUUUUCUUUUCUUUUCUUUACUAAGUUUUAUUCUCAUAUUCGCCACCCCCAACAUGAGGGAGACGAACUCUGAAUCAUUUCUUUGGUAACUCCACGUUCGUUGAACCUUUGAAAGUUCACGCGAGUCUGCUCACCCCGGAAGACACGAGAGAACACGCCCAGCUCCAAAAGAUGACACACGCACGCUCGUUUUUAGCAGGCACAAAGAUACCCACAUAUUAAAAUGCCACCACGAAUCAGCCCUCUUAAGGAUGCCAUGCAUCAUGUUGUCACAAAGUCUGACAAAACGAAAUUAGAGGUGAAGUACAUUAAUGCGGUGAAAGGACAUGGACUAUUUGCAAAAGGUUCCUUUUGCAAAGGAGAUUUUAUUGUGGAGUACAGGGGUGAAUUGAUAAAUUAUGCAGAGCUGGAGAGAAGAAGAAAACUCUACCACCCAUCCUGUGCUGUUUUUAUGUUCGAGUUUAAGUGGAGAGGGAAAACAUGGUGCAUUGAUGCAUCUAGGGAAGAUGAAUCGUUUGGGCGGUUAGUUAACGAUGACCACCAACAUCCAAAUUGUAAGAUCAAGAAAAUUGAUGUGAAUGGAAAGGCACACCUGUGUUUAUUUGCGCUGAAAGACAUUAAAGAAGAAGAAGAAAUCACAUACGAUUAUGGGGGAGACGACUGCCCAUGGAGAACCCAACAGGUGACGCUGAUCCUUCUCUCCAGUCACAGACUCAGAUGGAUGAUGCUUCUGGUCAAACCAAGUCUCCUCAACAGGAGAACAGUAUUGCUGCUAAUAGCAGAGCAGCAGGUGACUCUGAUCCUUCUCUCCAGUCACAGACUCAGAUGGAUGAUGCUUCUGGUCAAACCAAGUUUCCUCAACAGAUUGCGACCCAGCGCCAAAAUUAGAUUUUUGUGCCAAGACUGAGAUGGACUAAAAGUAUCAUAGCAAGUUUGUCACAACAAAGAGACUUGAUGUCUUUUUUUUUUCUUUUUCUUUUUUUGUAUUCCUCAGAUCAUUCUCAUCAUCAAUAAUAAUUUAUGUAAUAUUAGUAUUCUUAUGUGAUAUUGACUGCAAAAUAUCAGAGAAUACAAUUUAAUUUUACUUUAACACCAGAAUUAUGUGAUCAGAUAUAUAUUUUUUUGUCAGAUCAACUGUCCAUAACUUUUGCAUUGAGAACUUUAUUAUAACAUAGUAAGAAGCAGCAAAUCAUCACAUGUAACUUGCAAACUUGAGGGGGAAAAAAAUUUCAAUAGAUUAACAGAGACACAGUACAUUGGCUAUUAUUUUCAAAAUCAAAUGAUCAGUUAAUUGCAGCAGUUCUACCGAUUUCUUUUUUUUUUAGAUGAAAGACACAAAUCUUGAAGAUUCUGGUGAGCUCUUUGAUUCUACACCAGAGAGUUCAGGGCCCGGUUCCCCAAAACGUUCUUAUCGCGAAGUAGUUCUUAACCUAUUCCUUAACCUCUCUCUUAACGUUAUGGCAUGAUUCCCGACACAAUCGUACGCAAAGUAUAUCUUCUGUAAGUCACACUUUUGUAAGGUUGGUCUGGACCAUUCGUAAGCUCUCUCUUAGCGUUGUUUGAGCUCAAGACGCUAGUUGCCGCCACUGUGCAGCAAUCUUUAGAAAUCAGCGCAGCGCAGUACAAGUCAAACUAUAGUAUGUUGACAAUGUUGUGGCUCAACAAUGAUUUUAUGUUAUGGACAUUUUAAGACUAAUAAUAAAAUAUGUUCGCAAUGGAUACAGGCCUAUUUAUGAAGUUGACUUUAUUUGGUAUCAGAACUAAUAUGGUGGUAAUUAGCCUAGGCUAUUUCGUAAUGUCAUUAAAGGGUUUAAAUUGGCAAUCACUUUUGAUAAUUAAAAUCUGGCAAACAAUUUGGCUCUAAAUGCCUAAGAUCUAUAAAUGGGUAAGCAUGGUGGUGUCCAGUAAGCCACCAACUAUGGCAGCGAUAAGCAAGACCUCGGUGUGGAGGUGCGUCCACACUGUCACCAACGCCCUUCUGCGCCAUUCCGGAGAUUACAUCCGGGGAAUUCUGAUUGUAAAGUACCUUACCAUUAAUAUAAAAGUGUAUUACAUAAUUUUUAGAAGUCGUUAAACCCAUGUCAAGAAGCGGCACAAGUGGCACAACGGGAUAAGGAGGGUGGAUGAUUAGCGAGGGAUACCCUGUUCGUCUACCCAUCACAACAUAUCGUGUGAAUAUAUAUUACUGACAAUUUGAUAAUUUAAUUAAUAGUCUAUAUUUUACGGAUAACUUAAACUAUGUUAAAAUAAAUGUUACUGUAAUAAUUUGAGGAAUGUUUCAUUUGCAUAGGACGUGUUGUCUUUCUUAACACCGUAAUGAACCUUCGUGUGAAGUGGAAAAUCGAUUCCUGAGCAAUCGACGCCAACUAAUUCAGCACCUUCACUUGGGACAGCGCCUUUGUAACGUCGAACGUAAGAGGCAGCGUGUAAAGAAGCUUCCUAAGGGACACUUCGGGGAACACACUUAGGAACAUAAACAACUUUGGUAAGAUAUAUCUUUCGAGUCUUCUUAGUGCGCUAAGAGUGAACGUUAUCGGGGAACCGGGCCCAGAUGAUUACGUUCCAGAUACCACUUCCGAAAGUGACAGUGAUGUUAGCCUUACACUAAACCAGACAAAACGUCAGCUUCUUGAUGAACUGGAUGUUGAUCAGUCUGGCUCAGUGAGUUGCCCUGACUGUGACACCACAAUGUCAUACAAAAUGCACAGACUUAUAUCUGAAGCAUCUGGAACAGGAGAAGAACCCAGUUCAAGUCAGAACACAACCGAUGGCGUAGUUGUUAGUGUAUACCAAAAAAGAGAUGGUGCUAGAGUGUACAACAAGAGACAUUACUGCUUGUACUGCAGUAAAGCAUAUGCUAAGAUGGCAAGGCAUCUAGAAAGUUCACAUGUAAAUAAGUCUGAUGUGGCUAGAGCUCUAAGCUUUCCAAAGAGUUCAAAGGAGAGAAAAAAACAGCUUGAUUAUAUUCGCAACAGAGGAAACUAUGCUCACAAUGCAGCUGUUAUGGAGUCAGGAAAGGGGGAACUAGUGCCAUUUAAACGACCACGUAAAAAAGUGCAGGGAGAAGAUUUCAGGCAUUGUGCAUACUGUCAAGGACUUUUUACAAGAAAGGUCCUGUGGAGACACAUGCAUACUUGUAGACUUCAACCACAAUCUGACCCUCCCAAACCAUGAAAAAACUGUGUUCAGUCCAUGUGUACCUACACUGGGCCUGUGCCUUCAAACAUGACUAGACAACUGUGGGGAGUAAUCACUGCCAUGAAUCCUGACCCAAUCACAGAUAUAAUAAAAAAUUUAAUUACUAAAAUCGGGCAGCACUUGUUAAACAAAGGUGGGCUAUCAGAUAAGAAUAAACAAUGUGUGCGGGAGAAGAUGCAAGAAUUGGGAAGAUUGAUUCACAAUGCCAGGAAAGUCACCUCCUUAAAAAAAACUGGAAGAUUGUGUAAAUCCAAAGAAGUACAAGGAGACUGUCAAAGCUGUCAAGUAUACAUGUGGGUAUGACAGUGAAACCCACAAAUUCUUGAUUUCAUCACUUGCAAACAAGCUUGGAAAUUCCCUGGUUAAAGCAAGCAAACUCUUGAAAGCACAGGGCUUAAUCUCUAACGACAAACAGCUUGUGAAGAAUGCCACUGAGUUUCAAGAAGUCCAUGCAAAUAAGUCAAGUCAAGUCAAGUCAUCUUUAUUUAUAUAGCGCUUUAAACAAAAAAGAUUGCGUCAAAGCAACUGAACAACAUUAAUUAGGAAAACAGUGUGUCAAUAAUACAAAAUGACAGUUAAAGGCAGUUCAUCAUUGAAUUCAGUGAUGUCAUCAUGCAGCUCAGUUCAGUUUAAAUGGUAUCUGUGCAAUAAUUUGCAAUCAAGUCAAUGAUAUCGCUGUAAAUGAAGUGUCCCAAACUAAGCAAGCCAGAGGCGACAGCGGCAAGGAACCAAAACUCCAUCAGUGAGAGAAUGGAGAAAAAACCUUGGGAGUGGAACGAGAUGAUCUCUGCUACAGCGCUGAGGAAUAUCAGGGAAGCAAAGUGGAAUGUGCCCACUCUCAUGCCCUUUACUGAAGACGUACAAAAACUGCAUACUUUUCUCAGUCAAGUGCAAGACGAGUGGUUCAACCUGCUCUCUGAAAGUCCGUCUACUAAAGCCUGGAUGGAGCUGGCCAAGGUGUGUCUAGCGCAGAUGAUUCUCUUUAACUGGCGGAGAGAAGGAGAGGUGGUGAGCAUGCCUUUGUCUGUGUUUUUAUCAAGAGACACUUCUGAUCCAUAUGAAGAUGUGGACCUGGCUCUCUCCGAAGUGGAGAAGAAACUCUGCAGACGCUUCAUAAGGGUUAUCACCAGGGGAAAGCGUGGUCGGCCAGUUCCAGUUCUUCUGACUCCAAAAAUGCUGUGUUCCUUAGAACUCCUUGUUAAGCAGAGAGAGAAUUGUGGGGUUUUAAAAGACAAUGCCUAUAUGUUUGCUAGACCAGAAGCCAUGACACAUUUCCGAGGGUCAGACUGCCUCCGUGGCUUUGCAGAGGCAUGUGGUGCAAAAAGGUCCCAAGGCACUGACAUCUACCAGGCUGCGAAAGCAUUUCAACAGUGCUGAACAUGACAGACACCGAGAUGGACCAGCUGGCAAACUUUCUUGGGCACAACAUAAGAAUCCAUCAUGAGUUCUAUCGACUCCCUGAGAAGACCCUGCAACUUGCCAAGAUCAGCAAAGUUUUAAUGGCUCUUGAGCAAGGAAGAUUAGCUGAGAUCCAUGGCAAGAACUUGGAUGAAAUUGGGAUAGAUCCUGAUGAAAAAAAAUAUUGACUGUGAUGAGAAAGAACAAGUUAUUGACUGUGAUGAGGAAGAACAAGUUAUUGACUGUGAUGAGGAAGAACAAGUUAUUGACUGUGAUGAGGAAGAUGGGAGCAUACAAGAGGGACACUGUUUAUCUACUGUUGACGCCGAGGUGGCACUUCCUUCUACCGAGAGGAAUAUGUCACCACCUCACAAAAGAGGCAAACAUCAUCAGAUGUGCAGAUGCCUUCAGGAGCCAGUGCUAUGAGACCGCCUCGCAAAGGUAAAACUACCCAGAAGAAAACUCCCUGGCAGCAGGCAGAGGUGCAGGUGGUGGAAAGGCACCUGGAGCCAUUCAUCGUAUCUGGCACUGUACCAACAAAGAGUGACUGUGAGAAAUGCUUGAAAGCUGAACCAGAAGCUCUGAGGAACCGCGAUUAGAAGACUGUAAAAUUUUACGUUUAUAAUCGCAUUACAGCUUACAAAAAGAAAUUGCAGUGCAGAUAAUACUGUGAAGAUGCAACCAUCUGGCAUGGCAGGUUUUGUUUAAAUAAGUUGAGCCACAGCAACACUUAAAGAAAUAGAAUAUCUUUAUUGUUAAACCAGUGCAUAAAGGCCACAAGCUGAAAAGCAUUGGUCUAACAAAAGUUGUUCUAAAGUUUUUGUUGAAAUCCAUGUCUGUGAAAGGAGGCAUGUGAGUUAUUUAUAUAUAUAUAUAUAUAUAAUUUAUUUAAUUUUUAUUUAAUUUUAGUUACAUUUAUUAUAACAGGACCUUUGAGGUUUUGUUUUGAGGUUUGACUUUGAGUAAUUAUGUGAAGUUUAACUCAUUAAAAGUUGAAUUCAGUCAUUUUAAUCUGAAUUACUGUCUUUAAGUUCAAUUAGUAGUAGGUUUAUUGUAUUUAAGUAUCCAGUGAAUGAGUAGCAGCUGAUGCGGGGUGGUUGGCUGGGGCUGAACGCUACUUUAAAAUACUUAAAGAAAGAAUAGUUUGAAGUGGAAAGGUUUAAAUGUUUGACUUGUGGGUCUGAUAUUGGUUGGAACAUAUACAGGCAAUUAUUCACUACUUAAAAGCAAUCCUUUGUAUUCACAUGCACAAAAUGCAUGUUUGAGUUGUCCUAACUGAAAAUAACUUGCAUCUUUAAAAUAUCUCAGUGCCAUUGUUUUGUCUCGAGAUGCAUACCAGUAAUGUUUUUUUUUUUCUAAGGCAUUUUGAUAGAAGCUGUUUAUAUACCCUAAUUUAAGUAAGGCCUAGUCCUGGCUUAAGCUAAUCUGUCUGUGAAACUGGGCUUUUGUGCGAGAGUGAAGCUUUGCAUCACUAGCACCGUUUGCAGGCUUCACUACAUCUCCACAUUUCAAAAUUUUAACUUUCGUACUACUAAUAUACGUUUUAAUUUUACUUGGUUGUAGAUUAAACCCAUUUUAAGAGCAAAUGGUCAAAUGCAGUCUGAAGAUUUACUUCAUAUAAAUCCCUUUUAUUUAUUACUCAAAUCAUGGGAAUGUGUGUAAAUGUAAAUGUAAAAGCAUGGUCAAGUCAUUACUUCAUUACUUCAGGUGUCUGAAGUCGUGUAUAGGCUAAGAGAGCUAUGGUUAGUGUCCCUAAUUGUUUUCAGACCUCUAAACCCUUUAGAAAGGGUGGUACCCACAUGUGAUGAUUAAAAAGUUGGUCCCCAUCAAACAUGGAAACCAGUAUGUGUGUGUGUGUGUGUGUGUGUGCACUUGGAUGGGUUAAAUGCAG